GAUGAACGCUAGCUACAGGCUUAACACAUGCAAGUCGAGGGGCAUCAGGAUGUAGCAAUACAUUGCUGGCGACCGGCGCACGGGUGAGUAACACGUAUCCAACCUGCCUUUUACUCGGGGAUAGGCUUUCGAAAGAAAGAUUAAUACCCGAUGGUAUAAUAUUUCCGCAUGGGAUUAUUAUUAAAGAAUUUCGGUAAAAGAUGGGGAUGCGUUCCAUUAGGCAGUUGGCGGGGUAACGGCCCACCAAACCUUCGAUGGAUAGGGGUUCUGAGAGGAAGGUCCCCCACAUUGGAACUGAGACAUGGUCCAAACUCCUACGGGAGGCAGCAGUGAGGAAUAUUGGUCAAAUGGGCGGAAGCCUGAACCAGCCAAGUAGCGUGAAGGAUGACUGCCCUAUGGGUUGUAAACUGCUUUUAUAAGGGAAUAAAGUGGGAGUCGUGACUCUUUUUGCAUGUACCUUAUGAAUAAGGACCGGCUAAUUCCGUG
rnacentral:rRNA from 1 species